rnacentral:rRNA from 1 species
GACGAACGCUGGCGGCGUGCUUAACACAUGCAAGUCGAACGGAAAGGCCCUGCUUUUGUGGGGUGCUCGAGUGGCGAACGGGUGAGUAACACGUGAGUAACCUGCCCUUGACUUUGGGAUAACUUCAGGAAACUGGGGCUAAUACCGGAUAGGAGCUCCUGCUGCAUGGUGGGGGUUGGAAAGUUUCGGCGGUUGGGGAUGGACUCGCGGCUUAUCAGCUUGUUGGUGGGGUAGUGGCUUACCAAGGCUUUGACGGGUAUCCGGCCUGAGAGGGUGACCGGCUACAUUGGGACAGAGAUACGGCUCAGACUGCUACGGGAGGCAGCAGUGGGGAAUAGUGCACAAGGGGCGGAAGCCUGAUGCAGCAACGACGCGUGAGGGAUGACGGCAUUCGGGUUGUAAACCGCUUUCGCCUGUGACGAAGCGUGAGUGACGGUAAUGGGUAAAGAAGCACCGGCUAACUACG